rnacentral:rRNA from 1 species
CGCAUCUGUGCAUGCAGCAUAUCAAUAAGCGGAGGAAAAGAAACUAACAAGGAUUCCCUUAGUAACGGCGAGUGAAGCGGGAAGAGCUCAAAUUUGAAAUCUUCAAGGUUUUACCUUGACGAAUUGUAGUUUAAAGAAGUGUUUUCUGUUGAAGUUUUGGUAAAAGUUCUUUGGAAUAGGACAUCAUAGAGGGUGAGAAUCCCGUAUUUGACCAUUAUUUUCAGCUGUGUGAUACACUUUCAAAGAGUCGGAUUGUUUGGGAAUGCAGUCCAAAAUGGGUGGUAAAUUUCAUCUAAAGCUAAAUAUUGGCGAGAGACCGAUAGCGAACAAGUACCGUGAGGGAAAGAUGAAAAGAACUUUGAAAAGAGAGUUAAACAGUACGUGAAAUUGUCAAAAGGGAAGCGUUUGACACCAGUGUUGUUUUCUCGAAAAUCAAUUAAAAAGAGUUUGAUUUUGUUGUGUAUUGACCUUAACAGCUUGCAUUUCAAUUUUCUUGCUUUUUUUAAUGCACUUUUCGUUUAACAAGUCAACAUCAGUUUCUUUUGUUGUAAAAAGGUCAUUGGAAGGUGGCUUUCUUUUCGGAGAAAGUGUUUAUAGCCUUUGACUCCUGCAAUCGGAGAGACUGAGGUCUGCAGCGUAGAUCCUUCGGGGUUAGAUACAUUUGUGCUAAGUUAUAGCUUUUUAUAGACAACUUGUUGACUAUGAUUAGUCUUGUAGCUUACUCGCUUAUGCUAUUUUACCUACGCUUAGGAUGUUGAACUCUAUCACACACAG